ensembl:lncRNA
CUGCAUUUCUGUUUUCCAAACCUUACAUUUCCAAAAAAAAACCCACCCUUUUUGUCACAAGACCAAAGGUGAUGUGUGGUCACCAAGUCACUCAGCAGGUUGCCAAGCCACAGGCAGCCAUGAAAAGGAAAUGAAUCUCCAAGUACAAUCAAAAUAGAGAAGCAGACGGAUGUGCCCCGAACACAUCCUGUUUUCAGAUCGCCAUCCUGUGCGUCUCUCCUGCCACAGAAACCAAUACUUCAUGUAACCCGUGAAUUUGAAGCCUUGUCCCAGCAGCACAGCUCCCUGCAGGAUGAAUGCUGGAAAGGGAGCGUUCAGGGGAGAGACUCUGAACCGAUCAGCCCAGUUCCUCUCUUCUGCCCGAUAAACCACACUCAUUUCAAGAAGGCUGGGAGGCAGGAGGAGCCUCGAGGCCACCAGCUGGCUGUGCAGUGCUGGGUGAUGGCUGCGAUGGAGAAGAGGAAAGCUAACAGAACGGCCCGAAGCACCACAGCGCGUGGGUCUGUUCACAGAGUAACAUCAGGCUGGGGCAGGGAAGGCGGCGUUUGGGAACCAGUGUGCAACGGCAGCACGGCAGCUUUGAGAUACACCUCUGAAAUCUGCAGCUUCACCCGAGCACACAGCAAAUGCUUCGAACAACCUCUACUAAACGCCUCAGCCGCCCGCACAAGAGAUGUGGCGGCAGAGGUGGCGAAGGCCUUCCGGCUUCGUAGGCGCUAUUUCCGCCCUUUGGCGGGCACUACGCAACUACGCC